UUUUUUUUUUUUUUUCUGUCCACCCUAAAAGAAAAUGUCCCUAUCCAAAUCUUUAUGCCUCCUCUCUUUGUGGACCUUUGUAUUUCAGCGUAUUCUCCUGGGAAAAUACCCAAGCUUUAGAGUGUGUCAUGGUGCAGAGUCAUGCUGCGGCUGGAUAAGGCGGUUAUUUGCUGUCAGCUGUCGAGCGUUUUCUUAUUCCUUAUACGUUCAUCAUCAUUUACUACAAUCUUCCAACAAUCGCAUUUUAUGACUUGUGUGUGACAGUUAUUCUUUAAAAAUAAGUAACUUUUGGUUAGAUUAAACUGCUCUAACAUACCGCUCUACUAUUAAUUAGGACAUAGAAUAAAUGUCAUUCCCCUACUCUUUCCACCCCGUCCCCCCAUCCUGCCAGUUUGGGGCUCUCACCUGAAAAUCUGUGCGGUAACUAUGCUUUGAACUCUUGGUCUGGAAGGUAAUAUUUAAGGCAGAAAUAUUCCUUAAAGAGUGAAGCAGUGUAAUUCCAUAAUUACAUUUGAAGUCAUUCCUGAUUAUGUUGUAAAGGAAGGAGAAUUGGAAAAAUUCCAUGGCCAUCCUAUUUUAUUUUUUGCUGAGACUUUGAAAAAUUGCUAAGGUAAACUAACCUAGGGUCCAUUUCACUUGUCUUUGCAAAGCAUUUUCAUAUGUUGUUAUUUCUUUAUACCAAUAAUAAUUUCACAAAAAUGGCAUGAACUUGCAUGUUUGUUUUUUAAAAAUUAUUCUCAAAGUUUUUAGAAUGAAAAGAUCUCUUUCGCUUUCAUUCCUUUUUUCUCCCCUAUUUAAGGUAAAGACAACUAACAGUUUAAUACAUCUCUUUCCAAACUACUUUCUUUUUUUUUUUCUUUUUAAUUAACCCUGGAAUAUAGGGCAAAAAGUGAAAGUCUCGCUAUACCAUACCUGCUGCCCUACGUGUGUGUCUGUCUGUAUAUGACACAUGCAUGUCUAAAGGUUGUGGUAUGUAAUUUGCAUUCAGUAAUUUACUUUUAACCUUAACACUAUGUGCUGAAAUUUUUUCAUGUAAGUACAUAGAGAUUUACUCAUUCAUUUUAAAGACUGUUCAGCAAUCCUUGAAUCAUUAACUUUUGAUUGAUCUAGCAGGAUUCUUUUUUUUUUUUUUCCUUUUUUUAAUUAAUCUAACCCCCCAAAAAUGUUCAGUGAGUACACAUACAUCCUUGUUCUUAGAUUCAAGUAUUUCUGUAGGGAUAGAUUUCUGGAAGUAGCCUGAUUCAAAGGGGUGUGCACAUUCAAAAGUGUAAUACACACUGACUGUAUGAGAGAGAGUGCUUAUUUCCUCACAACAUUUUUAACACUGCGUAUUAUCAUAUUUGAACAUUUUUCUUGAUCCGAUGUGUGAAAAAUGGUAUCUUUAUUGCUUUAAACUUUCCUGAUUACCAGUAUGGUUGAGCAUUCUUUCAAAUGUUUAUUGGUCCUUUUUUUCCUAAAAAUUACCUUUGUAUAGCAUUUAUGAGUUAAAAAAUUUGUGAUUUUCUCCUUAGUUUAUAGCAGCUCUUUACAAUUAUGGCUUUUUUAAAAAAAUUGAAGUAUGGGCGUUCCUGUUGCGGCUCUGCAGAAACAAAUCCGACUAGCAUUCACAAGGACGUAAAAAGACAAGAAAAAUUUAAAAAAAGUAUAGUUUAUUUACAAUGUUGUGUUAGUUUCUGGUGUACUGCAAAGUGAUUCAGUUAUAUAACUACUCUUUUUCAGAUUCUUUUCCAUUAUAGUUUAUUACAAGAUAUUAAAUACUGUUUUCUGUCUGCAGUUAUGGCUUUUAACUAAUAUUCGUAAUCAAUAUUUUCCGUAAUCAUUUGCCAAUUUUGUCUUUCAUUUUUCAAACAUCCUAACUUUUUUUUUAAAUGAAGUCCAAUAUUUAAUGUUUUAUUUUAUGGCUUUUGAUCUUGUGUCCACAAUGGGAACUCCCAUCUUUUCCUAUUUCUUGAAAGAACAACUGUUAGUCUUAUUGACCAAGGCUAUUUUUUCUAUUUUCUAUUUUACAUUUUUUUCUAUCAGCAUGGUUGUCUAGUUCAUUGUUUUUUUUUCCUAGCUUUUUGAAUUGACUAAAAUCACUUAUUCUUCAUCUUUCUUGAUUUCUAAUGAAUGUACUUAAGGCUGUAAAGUUUCCUCUGAAAAUCAUUUUAUCAUAUGUUGUUACAGAUUUCAAGAGGUAAUUUUCCUAUCACCAUUCUUUUAUAAAUUUUCUAUAAUUUAAGCUUUUAUUUCUUUCCAAGUAAGUUUGAAUAUGCUUUUAGUAUUAAUUUUUAGGGUUUCGUUUUAUUUUGUAGCUCAUGUAUUUCUACUUUUUUGGAUUUUUUUUUUUUUUUUGUCUUUUUAGGGCCUCACUUGGGGCAUAUGAAGUCGAAUCAGAGCUGUAGACACUGGACUACGUCACAGCCAUAGCAACACCAGAUCUGAAGCCUAUCUGUCAUGAGACCUACACCACAGCUCAUGGCAAUGCCAGAUCCUUUAACCCACUGAGCGAGACCAAGGAUUGAACCUGCUUCUUCAUAGUUUCCAGAGGAUGGUACAUCCUAUUCUCAGUCUCCGGAGACGUCACGCCUCCUGAAAUGAGGGUAGUUACACAUGGUAGAAGCAGUAAGUGUGAAAUUCCAUCUAGACUCUGAAUGCACAGGGCUGAAACCCUGGAUCUGAGCCGCUCGGCAGUGGUAUCCUCACCGCAUGGGUGAUCCGCUUGGUCUUCUGGAGAAUGAAAAGCCAGACCCAACUCAAAGCCGCAAGUUCAAGCCUUAGGAUUCGCCCAGGGAAGACGUGUGAGAAUUCCUGUCUUCAAGGCACUGAGAGUCCCAACAGACAACACACAUGAAGCGGGCAGGAAACACCUCCAUGCCAGGCUGUGAGGGCCAUACCCGCUGCAUAUGGAAAUUCCCAGACAAAAAAAGAAAAAGAAAAAGAAGAGCUGACUGUACUGUUCCUGCAGGACUGUUCCUGUGGCAUAUGAAGUUCCCCGGCCAGGGACAAAAAAAACAAACAAAAAAUCAUUGAUUUACGAUGUUGUGCCAACUUCUGCUAUACAGCAAAAUGACCCAGUCAAAGAACGUAUCUAUUCUUUUUGUCAUAUUCUCCUCCAUCGUGUUCGAUCCCAGGAGCUUGGACAUAGUUCCCGUGUUGUUCAGUAGGACGUCUUGGAUGUCCACAGGCCUUGGUUUUGGGAGGCUUCCAAGAGAAGCCCUGACAUCCAGGUUGCACUAACACUGCAGCAGCCUUGACCGUCUCAUCAUAAGACCGUCAAAGCACAGGAGUUCCCGUCGUGGCGCAGUGGUUAACGAAUCCGACUAGGAACCAUGAGGUUGCGGGUUCGAUCCCUGGCCUUGCUCAGUGGGUGAAGGAUCCGGUGUUGCCAUCAGCUGUGGAGUAGGUCGCAGGUGCAGCUCGGAUCCCAUGUUGCUGUGGCUGUGGUGUGGGCCAGCAGCUGUAGCUCCAAUUGGACCCCUAACCUGGGAACCUCCAUAUGCCUCGGGUGCGGCCCUAGAAAAGACAAAAAGACAAAAAAAAAAAAAAAAAAAAAAAAAAAAAAGACUGUCAAAGCACAGUAAAAGGAAGAGACACUGGUUCCCUCACAGUCACUUAAUGGCAAACAAACAUUUGAGGGGGUAAUUGUCCAGUGUCCUUGGAUACAGAAACGGUGUCCUAAUACGGAAUGCAGUGUCCGAAUACAGAAACCAGGUCUUCCCCAGGAUGCAUUUAUUUCAUCAAAGUUUUCUCUCAAAAUAUCUGGAUGAAACACUGGUUCUUAUAAUAAAGAGCGGUUUUGAAAGGAUCCCCUCAUUAAGUCUGUAUCCUAGAACGAGGCCAACCGCCCCAAAGAGAAGCGGCAAAGUCUGUUCUGUUUUGUUCAGUAGACACCCCGCCCUGGCCCAGGGAACUGAAUAAUGGCAGGGGUCACCCCCUGGUGGCCUCACCCUCCCACUUGAUGUCUCUGCUUACAAAUGUGUCACCUUUCCCCCGCGGGAGGAUGUCACUGACUCGGGCUUGUGGAACUGAGGGCUUGGCUGGGGCCGCUCCACCUGUACCUGGUGGCCUGGUCAGCAGGUGUCUGAGUCAGGGACGCGUUAGGCUACAGAGCGAGGACAAGGGCCUCGUGGUCCAGGUUCCCUCGGCCCAGGGCUCACUCCUAAGGAGCUACCUGACCUUUCACUGUCCAGACCAUCAAAAAACUAAAGCCGUCUCUUUUCUUUUUUCUCUUUCUUUCUAGGGCCUCACGUGGGGCAUGUGGAAAUUGCCAGGCUUGGGGUGGAAUAGGAGCUGCAGCUGCCAGCCUUUGCCACAGCUCAUAGAAAUGCCAGGUCCUUAACCCACCGAGGGAGGCCAGGGAUCAUUACGCUGAGCCACACUGGGAACUCCCUAAAGCCACCUGUUUUCUUCACCACGUCUCUGCCCACCCUCAGCUCCUUAGAAAGUCUCCAGGAGGUGGAGCUUGCCAUUGGCUCUAGGCCCUCAGAAACGAAGGCCCCUGCUGGGACUCACGUCAGAAGAAUGCAAGGGUGCUGGGAGCAGUUUGGGGCGGAAAUGGAGAGGAUUCCACAGCAACAUCCAGAACAUUCCUCCAGCAGCUGCUUUGUGUCCAGACACUGCAUGAUGUCCCCACAUGCCCUUCUCUUGUCCUCCUGCCGGACACUGCUGGAAGGUAGGUGGAACGGCAGCCCUGAUGAGACCACGGAGAUGCAGAGAGGGCCCAUGACUUACUCCAGCCACACUACUUAUUCUGAACCAGGUCUGUAUGGCCCCCAAGCUAAUGCUCUUAUUUAGUUAUUUGUUUUUUAGGGUCACACCCAUGGCAUGUGGGGGUCAAAUCAGAGCAGCAGCUGCCGGCCUACACCACAGCCACAGCAAUGCCAGAUCUUUAACACGCUGAGCGAGGCCAGGGAUGGAGCCUGCAUCCUCGUGGAUAGUAGCUGGGUUUGUAACCUGCUGAGUCACCACAGGAGCUUCCAGGCCCUUCUGUUUCAAUGCUGCCCUGCGCAUGGCUGUUGGGAGCUGGCAUCCUUGGCUGCUCUUCCUUGCCUGAUCCAUGUAAACAAUCUGUCUGGAUGAGGGCUUGUUUUGUUAUCAGCCUUGUAUCUGUCAGGACUUACCUUGUGUUCGACUCUUUGGCUCAGUGGCGGGAGGCAGAGACAGAACACAAGGAGGAGGCACCCGUGGAGAGUGGAGGAAGGACCAAAUAAAACAUAAAGCCGUUCU
rnacentral:lncRNA from 1 species